ACCAAUAACCCCACUAAACCAUGUCUCUCAACGCUAUAUCUAAAUGUUUCUUGGCUACCUUCUGCAAGUCAAGGGUCUCAUGGACUCUAUUCACCCAGUAGCCAGCUAAUGCACCCAGAUUCCCAAUCCGUCGUGAAGUUACGGAUAUUUCUUUAUGAUGCACAGAGCCGGCUGAGAGUUAACUCAAGUCUGACAAUCUUAAGGAGUUGCCAAGUUUCCCCACCCCUUGCCUUUGUUCAUACAUCUUUUUGCCUUGAAGCAAUUUUAAUAAAGACUAUGUAACAACAUGGUGUUGGCAUAGCAUGAGCAACAUUAUUCCAUCUGUUUCUAGGGAAAAUGUAAAAACAUGUGUUAGUAUAACACUGAGGUUCCAAUUUUCAACAGUUAAAAAUUCAGCAAUACUGAAGUUAAACUCUGUUUUUUAAAGCUACUUAGCAAUUUUCAUUGCCUUUGUUUUUUAGGAAGUCAAGUUCAGAUGCCUGAUCACCCACUCUUCAAAACUAAGGCUCUGUUAGCUGUUUUGAUUUGGGCAGCCAAAAUCCUUGCUUUCUGUUGAAAAUGUUGCGGAGCUGUUAUGUUAAAGAGUAUUCAGUUUCUCACUGAAUGUUUGGUAUUUGCAAACAUUCGUCUUAUCUUUUAUGAGAGUUAACCUUACAUUAGACAGAGAGUGAGAGCAUGUUAAUUUUAAUACUUUGCUAAUCCUAGAUUAGUAUUAAAAGAGAAGCAUGAAAAGGAAUAUUUAAUGGUUUUUGGAAUUAGGACCUUACCUCGUUUUUUACUUGUCUUCUUUUUCUCCUGUGAAUUAUAAUGGUACACCAGGCAGAGUUUUUACUGAGCAUCACAUUUUAAAUAGUGAUGAUAGAAUAUCCUGUCAGUGCAGUAGUGAUGAUUUGUGCCAAAAGUCUCAUUUUAAGAGUUAUGUUGGUGCAGUCAGGAAACAAAAUGAUGCAGCGUGUGUCUUCCUGGCAUUCACACCUAGUGAGAACAGCUUUCGCUGCCAGCGUGGCAAACUCAAAACAAUGUUCACGGGGAGAUAUUCAUUGACACAGAACAGCAUUACUGCAUAAGGUGUAGAGCAAAGGUGUGAUCCUGUACAAAUCAAGUGACCGAAGAGCAAGCAAGGAGAAAACAGGUAACUGAUGCUACAGACAAAGAAGAACACAUGAAAUAUGGUUGGAGACAUGAAAAUCAGAGGUAGCCUUCACUGCAGUGACCAUGAGAUGGUGGAAUAAAAGGUGGGAGAAAGGCAAAAAGCAGUACCACAACCCUGGAUUUCAUGAGAACAGACUUCAAUCUCUUUACGAAUCUGCUUGGAAGAAUCCUACGGGAUAUGGCCCUGGAGAGAAGAGGGAUUUGGGAGGGCUGGCUUCUCAAGGAAGGUCCAUCCCAAAAAGCAUAGUUGGCAGGAGGACUGUAUGGAGGAGCAAGGAGUGCCAAAAUGAGUUCAGACAUAUAAAGGAAGUAUGUGAGAUGGAAGCAGGGGCAAAUGACCUGGCAGCAGUGUAGAGAUGGGAUUUUGGAAAGACAAGGCUGACCUGGAGUUGAAUCUGGUGAGAGAUGUGAAGGCCAACAAGAAAAGAUUCUACAAGCAUGUAAACAGUAAAAAGAUGAUUAGGAGAAACAUGGGCUCAUUGCUGAACAGGACAGGGAAGCAAAUUAUGUGGAAAAGACCGUGGUACUCAGUGCCUUCCCUUCUUGGUCUUUACUGGUAAAAUCAGCCUCCUGGAAUCCCAGGCCACUGAGAAGAGAUGAAAAAAGUAAGUGAAAGAAGACUAGAUGGUGGUGGAAAUGGUCCAAGUUAGGGAGCACUUACAUUGGAUGUAUGUAUAUCUGUGGGUCCUGAUGGGUUGUGCUCAUGAGUGCUGAUGGUACUAAGUGAUGUCACUGCGAGGCCACUCUCCAUUAUCUUUGAACAGUCAUGGUAACUGGCAGAGAUUCCUGAGAAUGAAGCAGAGAAAAUAUCUUCAGGAAGGGCAAGAAUGAAAAUCUGAGGGACUGUCAGACAGUCAGCCUCAUCUCAGUGCCUGGGAAGGUGAUGGAGAAAAUUGUCCUGAGAAUUUGGCUAUUUCCAAAUAGACAAAGGACAAGAAUGUGAUCAGGAGUAGUCAGUAUGGAUUUAUGAAGGAACGAUAAUGCUCUACUGACCUGACAGCCAUGUGCAAUAAGAUGAAGAGGGCUGGACCACAUGAUCUCCCUUUCAACCUGAACAAUUCCGCAGCUCUGUGAUUUGCUGGUCUCCUGUUUAAAUAAUCAUCAGUUUACAGAACAGAUACCACACAACAGCUCACAUUUAUCAUUUUACACAUCAUAUAAAUGAUCACGGUAGAGAGCGCACUAUCAAGGUUACAGGCUGGAUUCCUGGAGCAGAUGAGUAGACCUUCAUGGCCAGACAACAGAACAAGCUGACAAAGUCUGUGUAGCCAACUCUGCAGUCAAAACCAAAGUGCUGGGACUCAGAAGGUCUCGCUUGUUAAUUUCACUUGCAGGCCUGAGGGAUAACGGCAGAUGACUCAUGGACCAGACACCAGUGACAACGCAUUACUCCGUCUGUUGGCCGAGUGCUACUGACUGAAAUCGCUGGCUCUACCUCAAUUUGCUGCAGCAAAGUGUCUUGUCUUGCUUGGAUUUGCUUGAGAAAUGACCUUUAUUGUUCUUAUCCACAUUCUCACCUUGUGCAAUCUCUAUGUGUAUGCUAAAGUCACCUCCCCUGCAAGGGUGAACAGAUUUAGGGAAGCUCAAAAUGGCACAGUUUCAUCAAAUAAGGAAAGAUGGUGAAAACCAAGGAAAUGAGCCGAAGUGACCCCUUGCUGGAUAAAUUGAACGUAGUGACAGAUUAGAGGCCCUGGUGGGCUCCCCUGCCUAGAACAAUAUACAGCUGAUGUGAACGAUGAAACGCACAAAUGCUUCUGUGCUAUGGAUUUUACUGGAGUUCAGAUGUUUCCUGCCUGUGACAAGUGAGGUGUGUGAUUUGCUCUCCUGCUUUUGCUUAACUGGCCAGCAAGUGAAUUCAGAGUGAGCAGGUCAGCUCGGGAGCAAGAAGGACCUAAAGAGAUCAAAAUAACAGUUAAAAAUGAUGGCCCUGUUCUUACAGGAGAGCUGACUAUGGCCAUGCUGAGCGCUCGUCAGGAUCAGACCCGCACAAAUCACCUCACAUUCAAAUUCCAGGUCUGAAAGCAGCUCUGGAAAGGCAAUGGCAAAUCAGUCUCUUCUGAGGAGGAUAACAACUGACAACAAAUGUAGACAGGAAACGGUAGCUGUUCAGAGCAUCCUGCAACAGGCUUCACCCUUGUUUUCUGCUUGCUUUCUGCCUCUUGAAGAAUAAACGAAGAUGUAUCUAGAGAAAUGAAGUUCCUAGAAAGAAGUUUAAAUUCCAGAUGGCUGAUACAACCCAGGCACCAGCUGUGAGGAGGUAACAAAGUCUGCUUUAAAAGAGAAAUCGGCAGUGCCAAGAUGCUAUUGCUGCACUUUGGGGUUUUGCUUCUGCUGCGCUCAUCUUGUUUUUAGGGCCACACAUGUCCAGGGUGAGUGUACAGCCCCUGGUAUAAGAAUUCCUCUCCUGAUUACCAUCAGAGAAUGUAGCAUGUACCGGAACAAAUACUCUUUUGUUAGAAUUGAAACCUUUGUCAAGCAAUACCAAGGAGCAACCAAAAGUCACCUGGGCACUGGAAAUGUUUUCUGUGAAGGCAGAAGCUCACAACUCUACAAGAGAAUCCACAGUGAUCUCUAGGAGGUGAGACGCUGCUUUAUCCAGGUUUCCCAUUCAUUUCGGAGACGUGCAGUCAUUGCUCUUUUAUAUGCACAAAACGCACUGAGCAUGGUGUACCGGGAUGUGAUGACCUCUGGGUUUAGCUGGUGGGGCAGGGGAGGAAUGUGCAGAAGAUAGGGGCUCUUUUUGUGCAUGGUGCUUACAUCCUGUGAAUGCGUUCCAGGUAGUGUGUGCCAGUAUCUGCUGACAUGGUUGAAGGUGAGUCCAACAUGUAAGCACACACUCCUAUGCAAUCAUGUCUGUGAUAGGGUCUCUUGUGUCUUUACUAAACACUGCUCAGCUGUGGGAAACCAGGUUCUCUCUGAGUUAUCAGAGUUGCUAAUAUUAGAUUGCUGCAAGACUGUUUCAUGCUAUCAAGUGAUCAAAGGCACAGGACAGACUCCAAAAGAGAGAAAGUGAAAUGGAUGGGACUGUGAGGCUCUCUUGCUGCUGUUAUUGUCACAAAAAUGUUCCUGUUUGAAAGAAUGCUCUUCCACUCUUUCCAGUUCAUCUUAGAAUGCCCCAAAAAAUUGAGUUUGUGAAGAAUCGUACAUCAGCUAGAGUAGAACGUGCCCUAUUAGUCCAUAAAAAGUUUUCUUUGUUGUUCCCUAGAUGGAAUGAUCAUUUCAGUGCCUUCAAAACAAAACUCUACCCUUCUGUUCUGACACAGUGCUGUUCUGUUAAGCAUAUAGAAUGUUUGGGGUUUAUUUUUGUUUGUUUGUUUGUUUGUUUGUUUUUAGGAUACUUAGAAGCAUUUGGAGUUCUAACCCUUCUACUUUGAAUUAAAUGUUUCAGGCUGAGCUGAAA